CUGUGCGGAAUGCAGCUUGGAUCUGCAUAAGAGGAAAGAAAUGCAUUUGCAUAGCUUUUGAGCAAAUCAUGUUGCACACCGUUAUGGAAAUUAUAUUCUCAAGAAUAUAUUUAUACGCAGAUUAUUAAUAAAUGAAAGAAGAAGAAAAGUUUUCAGAAGCAAGUAUCACACAUAAGAGCAAGAGAUGCAUUUCCACACAUUGAAAAUGUUCGUUCCAUUAAUCAAAAUUAAGAAAAGUCCAACACUCAGUCGUCAAACAAGAAAUAAUUUCAUCUUCAAGCUACAAUGAUCAAGUAAACUAUCAGUGUCAUGCAAAAAGAAUGACAUUGCUGUCCAUUGUCUUGUGUGGUUAACUGAACAAAAAAAAUGAGAUCAUCUAUGAUACUGUUACCAGAAAUGGAACAUUUUUUGCAAAAUGUAAUACCAGCAUCAAAUCAAAAGGCAUGAGAUCGGCCGCUAUUAUCCUAUGUGGCUAACUUAAGAAAAACAAAUGAAAUAACUAUACAUGUAUGUUGUUGCUGGAAUUAAAACAAUUUUUUGCAAAAAAUGUGAAUAGUUGCACCUCAAGCAGAGCUCUUUAGACAUAAUUUAACCUAGCAGUUCAUUAUCUUGUGUUUCAAAAACAUGUUUAAGUCUAUGCAGAUUCCAGAGCACCAAAAGCAAAGCAUCUAUACGUAAAUGUGAGUUUUUUUUUUAAGUCUUUUUUCACAGUUUCAAAUCAUCACCUUCUUCCAAUUUUGCACUCACAAGUUGCAAGCAAAUAUGAUUGAACAUUGACAUGCAGUUGUGCUUUUGUUUGUGCAUAUGCACAC
rnacentral:misc_RNA from 1 species